AUAUCCCCGCAAAUUCAUUCUGUUUGCAUUCAAACAGUCAUUCAACCCCAAAAAUCUAGACCAAAUAUUGUCUUCCCUUCUUGGCACAAACAAAGAAGAGACGCGGGAUAAAGAUACUCCGACGAUUGAUACAAUAUUUAUCAACGGGAGGUCUUACUUUUUUU
rfam:Colpidium striatum telomerase RNA gene, complete sequence.